AUUGAACGCUGGCGGCAUGCCUUACACAUGCAAGUCGAACGGUAACAGGUUAAGCUGACGAGUGGCGAACGGGUGAGUAAUGUAUCGGAACGUGCCCAGUCGUGGGGGAUAACGUAGCGAAAGCUACGCUAAUACCGCAUACGACCUACGGAUGAAAGCGGGGGAUCGCAAGACCUCGCGCGAAUGGAGCGGCCGAUAUCAGAUUAGGUUGUUGGUGAGGUAAAAGCUCACCAAGCCUGCGAUCUGUAGCUGGUCUGAGAGGACGACUAGCCACACUGGAACUGAGACACGGUCCAGACUCCUACGGGAGGCAGCAGUGGGGAAUUUUGGACAAUGGACGCAAGUCUGAUCCAGCAAUGCCGCGUGCGGGACGAAGGCCUUCGGGUUGUAAACUGCUUUUGUACGGAACGAAACGGUGAGCCCUAAUACAGUUUGCUAAUGACGGUACCGUAAGAAUAAGCACCGGCUAACUACGUGCCAGCAGCCGCGGUAA
rnacentral:rRNA from 1 species